rnacentral:lncRNA from 1 species
CUGGGGCCGAGGUUAUAGAAUGACUAUUGUACAGAUGGAACAAGAGUGGGAAAUAGUCCCAGGCAGGGAAUGGCAUCUCCAUUUCAUGAUGAACUUCCUGUCACAUUUUAUUUCCCAGGUUGUGAACUCUUCACGGGCAAAGAUGGGAUCUGAUUGUCAUUCAAAACGCAGUGCCUAAUUCAAUGCCUGGCACAUUGUCCGGUGAAUGAACUUAUUAACCCACAACAAAAUGUAACUGCAGGAGAGACCAGAAUAUUCUUGGCCAUUGGCGUGGAUUUGGAAAUGAGAAAUGUGGAAAAGCAGCCCUGUGCAGGGACACACAUCUGGCAAGCAUGGCGGUGACGGCCUUCAGCUCAUCAGGGUGGAGAUCCUGGCACCCAGUCCCCUGUGUCUUCUGGGCAUAGUGAGCUUGGCUGUGGUGUCCUUGGUCCCGAAAGUGUUUUUGGGUAUCUGCCCUAAUUGCUCGACUUUUCUGGCUCACCUGGGAUUUCUCUGAGUAGCCAAGUAUCAUUUAAUAAAGUUAUUUUCUGCCUACGCUAGACAGGAUAACUUGUUUUUGCAACUAACAUUCUUAUUCAACAUUCACAGCGUUGCUCUAAUUUCAACAGCCAUUUCCAGAGAAAUGUUGCCUUGUAAUUGUUCUGAUGAAGGCUUCUGUACAGAAUAGUUAGAUACUUUAAGUAAUAUGGAAGUUAUUCCUUUAAUGAUCUUGCUCAAUUUCCCUAAUUUCUGUUGCUUCUCUCAUUUACUAACCCCUCCCACCUUUUUAAAAACCAUUUAAC